AUGCCCAAGUUUUAUUGUGACUACUGUGAUAUGCAUCUUACCCAUGAUUCUCCAUCUGUGAGGAAGACACACUGCAGUGGUCUGAAACACAAAGAGAACGUGAAAGACAAUUCCCAGAGAUGGAUGAAAGAGCAGGCCAGAGCCUGACUGACAAAACAACAGCUGAAUUUCAACACGGAAAGAUCCCUCCAGCUCUGUUCUCUGCUCCUUCGCCUGCAGGGGCCAUGGUCCCACCUCCCCCAAGUCUCCCAGGUCCUCCUUGGCCGGGCGUGAUGCCUGCAUCCCACAUGGGAGGCCCUCCUAUGAUGCCAAUCAUGUACCCACCUCUUCCUGGCAUGAUGUCUCUGGGACCACCUCUUGGGAUGAGACCACCCAUGGGAGGCCACAUUCCCAUGAUGCUCGGGCCUCCAAUGAUGAGACCUCCUGCUCACCCUAUGAUGGUGUCCACACGGCCUGGCACGACGUGGCCAGACAGAUAA
rnacentral:lncRNA from 1 species